CAGGGAGACAACAAAAUGUUAAAUAUUAAUUUUGUCACCUUAGGUCGAUCGGUAUCUCACAUUCUUAAAUAUAUUUAAGGAUUUUAUUUCCUAAGUUUUUUCUAGGUCACACCCAUUAUUUUUCCUGGGCCAUUAGCUCAGGUGGUUAGAGCGCACCCCUGAUAAGGGUGAGGUCCCUGGUUCAAGUCCAGGAUGGCCCAUAUCUCUAUGUUGGGGGUAUAGCUCAGUUGGUAGAGCGCCUGCUUUGCAAGCAGGAUGUCAGCGGUUCGAGUCCGCUUACCUCCACUGAUUACCACCUCUUCCAUAAUCCGGUAGAAAGGAAAUGUUUUGAGCUGUGAUCAAAUUCUGAAAGAAUCUAGCUUCCUAAUGAAAUCAUUAAGAUGCUGGACUCAUUGAAUUAAUUUCAUUGUUUUCAGAGAACCUUGACAACUGCAUAGAUUAUUUUUAAAGACAAUAUGCAUCUUUAAUGGAUGCAGAUUUAUUAUUUGUGCUAAUGCAUUAAUAACAAUUCUAUUAAGCUGAUGCUUCA
rnacentral:tRNA from 1 species